GACGAACGCUGGCGGCGUGCUUAACACAUGCAGGUCGAACGGAAAGGCCUUUUCGGAGGUACUCGAGUGGCGAACGGGUGAGUAACACGUGGGUGAUCUGCCCUGCACUCUGGGAUAAGCCUGGGAAACUGGGUCUAAUACCGGAUAGGACCGCACUUUAGUGUGUGUGGUGGAAAGUUUUUUCGGUGUAGGAUGAGCCCGCGGCCUAUCAGCUUGUUGGUGGGGUAAUGGCCUACCAAGGCGGCGACGGGUAGCCGGACUGAGAGGUUGGUCGGCCACAUUGGGACUGAGAUACGGCCCAGACUCCUACGGGAGGCAGCAGUGGGGAAUAUUGCACAAUGGGCGCAAGCCUGAUGCAGCGACGCCGCGUGGGGGAUGACGGCCUUCGGGUUGUAAACUCCUUUCGCCAGGGACGAAGCGUUUUGUGACGGUAACUGGAGAAGAAGCACCGGCUAACUACGUG
rnacentral:rRNA from 1 species